ACAAACACAUAUGACAGACAAUCUAACACCACCAAGGCUUUUUCGAGGGCAACAUUUAAGACGUUUACUAAAACGUGUAAUCCGUCACCAGGGCUGAGGCAGUGGUGACAUUUUCUCAGGCGCCGUCAAGAAAAUUAGUGCCGGUCUCGCGGUGACUUACAGUUAAUUAACAUAAAUACAUUCGGCAUCUCUAGGCCUCCGUGCACACGAGCCCGUUAGGAACAUCAGUUUCUCUUAAAAGUCUAAUAAAUAGCUGCAUAACAAACGCCAAGCGCUGCGUUUAUUUCAGGCAGGUCUUAAGGAACCAUGACACGAAGAAAACAUUUUCACAGGAUAGCGUGUCGCGCCAGACGCCAAAACACAAGUCGAGCGUGUGCACAUGGGGCUGUUACAGGGAGAUAAAAGAGGAAGCUGUGGUAAGGACGUCUGGAAGCUGUACAACUGGGGGUUACGCAUGCCUGAGAAGAUCUUCACCAGGACCUGGAAUGACAAUCAUGGACUUGUCCCACCCACUGUCAGACACCCCUUCCAGGCAUUUCUUGCCCACCAGGCAACGUGUUUCGCGGCUGAUUGCCGUCUACUCACCA